UUUAAAGGAGUUUCAGGAGAGAGCAGAGACAAAUGCCUCUGUUUGAUCUGCCGUCUCUAAUCAGAAACCCCGGCUCUUCUUUUUUCAUUAUAUUUCAUUCUUUUUGAUAUUUCCCAGGACUUUUUGGUCAUUUUAAUCACAGCUGUUUUGUCGUCCCUAUCUCCUGGAUCUGUCCUACGAGGUUGUGGCUGGGCGGGGGGGAAAGGGGUGGUCCAAACCUACUGUUGGUGUUAUCACUUAUUCUCUCCCAUGACUUCUGUUGUUUUGUAAUUUUUUUCUUUGUGAGCUCAUCUGCAGGGACCUUUGUCAGUGUGGACCCUGGCAGCCUGGGUUGAGGUCAAGGCCCUCUGCUCCGAACACCCCACCGCAGCGCAGCGAUAGAGGCCUGUGAAUGUCCAGGCAACGAGACGGAACUGCCACGCGUUUCACCUCAUUGGUGAUGUUGCCAAAGGCCACGGAAAAGCUGAGUCAGGGUUCCUGUGGUAGUCCUGCUGUUUGGAGCAGGAGAGCCUCGGAGAACAUUCGAGACCCGUCCUGGGCUGGACUCAACCUACCGUGGGUACCGUCUGAGGUCCAGCCAGGCCGCCUCGGCAUCUUGCCCCCCAGCCACGCACGUCUUCACGAGCUCCCUCUGGCCCUUCCUUUGACCUUGUUGUUUCCACCCCUCACCGGCUGCGCCGUGGCCGCCUGCUUGCUGUCUGGCCUCCCCCAUCAGACUUGCACUCCCUGGGCCAGGCCCGUUUGUUUUCUCUCUCUGUCUCCAGCAUCCUCACGGUAACAGCGCAGACACGCGAGGCGUUUGGCUGUUAGCAGCGCGGGGGCGGGGGCUCGUCUGUUGCAUCCGGCGCGGGCGGAGCAGGAGGCCAAGAAUUCGGCGCUGAGUGAGUGAAUGAAUGAGUGAGUGCUCGCUCGACACCACUUGGCACUGGCUUAUGAAUGAAAUCGUUCACCUGGGCCGUGAACUGUUUUCUCCAUCGAUUCUCCAUCUAUUUCCCACCUUCGGAUGUCUAUGGUCUUCGUGAGAUGCACGUUCAUGGGUACAACCAGACACCGAGAACCGACCCUGCCCUAAUUUGGGGUCCCUUGAAAGCAGAGCUUGAGUUGAGUGACCCCAGGAGGCAGGGAAGCAGGGGUCGGAGGAGGAACCAUGUGGCUCUCCCGUCCUGCCGUAGGCAAAGGAGGGACUUAGUCAACCAGGAACUCUGGAAGCCAACGGAAUGCCUCCCAGAAUUGUCACCCAGAAGACGGGAGGUGGGAGCGGCUGUCCACCGGUUCCUGUCUUCCAUUGCAGAAGCUGCAGGAUGGUUGGAUUCAUUCCAUUUAUGGCCGUGACCAACGGUGCCACUGGGAAUGUUCCAGGUCACGACCAACGGCGCCUCUGAGAAUAUUCCAGGUCACGCCCUUUGGUGGACGCACGGAGGCAGUUCUGUCGGGUCUCUGCCCCGGGGCAGGGGUGCUGGCUCAGAGAACAGGGCACGUGUAGGUUGAGUAGACCCAGCACACGCUUCCCAAGAUGGUUUUGCCAAUUCACAUUUUUCCUCUGGCUGUAAGGGGUUCCGGUUGCUCCCCACGUCCGCCAGCACUCGAUUCUGUCAGCCUCCUUCACUUGAGCCGUGCUGGUGGUCCUCAUUUGUGUUUCCCCUGAUGAGUCAGGACGCUGAGCACCUCUUCACGCAUCUGCGGGUCCUUCGGAUAUUCCCUCGGGAAGUGCUUUCAUGGAACUACUCCUCUCCCCUCCAAUUUUUUCUGGAGUUGCCCGCCGAUUAUCGAUCUCAAAGGCCAAUCCGCCCGGCCCCGCAAACUCAAAGCCACAGUGCUCGGGCCACGUUUGUACUGUCAGCUGGUGACAGGGCUUCAAACCAAAGACGGAAUGCGUCACAUAAAAUUAAUCCGAUUUGAAUCGAUUCUGUAUUCGAUUGACCAAUUCGUCUUGGUGUUAUGGCUGGCUAAGAGCUACGGGGAAUUUGUGCCUCGCUUUAUGUUCGUGCUGGUUUAAGGAACACCACAGUGAAAAUGAUUCAGGGCAACAACAAACACACCUCCAAUCUGGUAACCCCCCCCCUUCCCGCCCCCCGCCCCUGCUUAAUGCAUCUCUGAGGACCCCUUCUGUCGGAAGGUGGAGGUGAGCCUCCUCAGCCUGGAGCUCUGGCCCCCCAGGCUUGCCUCCCAUGUGCACCUGCCCCCGCGGUGAAGCGUGGCCUCUUUCUGGACUCUGAUCUCUCACAGCCCAGGGUCUGUCUACACAGGCCCCCGGUUCUUGCGCCCCCUGUUUUGGAGCAGUCACUACCCGGGCCCCCCCCUUCUUGGCUUAGAGUGAAUUCCCCGCUCCUCCGACCCUCCACCUAAUUAUCACUCCUCAGGGAGUCCCUCACUAUGGCCCUGAAGCACACCGGCCCAGCUGAGCCUUGUCCUUCGUGGCAUAAUCUUAAAAUCUGCAUCAUCUCACAAUCUAUCCAUAAUCUGCCUAAUGUCACGAUCCGCAAUUUUCGAUGUAUUUGUGGCAUUCUUUUCCCCUCGGAUCGCAAGUUCCACGAAGGCAAGAAUGCUAUCUUUUUCUCUAGUGUCUGUGCCGGAGAAGACAAUGGAUGUUUGUCGAAUGACUUAAUGACCUGAGCUGUGUAACCCUCUCACUAUAUUGAUGCUGCAAGGCGGGGAGGGCCCAAGGUCACGUGCAGGGAAGGCCCGGGGCCUGCCCGUCCGGUCACAUGGGAUGUGAAAGAAAGUCCUCUUUGGGCAGCGACAUAGGGGCCAUCCCCAUCCUUGAGGAUAAUCUAGUCCAGGGGCGCCUGAGGGGCUCAGUCGGUUGAGCGUCCAACUCUUGAUUUCGGCUCAGAUCAUGAUCUCACGGUUUGUGGGUUCAAGCCCC